rnacentral:rRNA from 1 species
AUAACUCGGGGAUAGCCUUUCGAAAGAAAGAUUAAUAUCCGAUAGCAUAUAUUUCCCGCAUGGGUUUUAUAUUAAAGAAAUUCGGUAUGAGAUGGGGAUGCGUUCCAUUAGUUUGUUGGGGGGGUAACGGCCCACCAAGACUACGAUGGAUAGGGGUUCUGAGAGGAAGGUCCCCCACAUUGGAACUGAGACACGGUCCAA